rnacentral:tRNA from 1 species
ACAGUGGUGGUUCAGUGAUAGAAUUCUCACUUUUCCAUGUGGGAGACUUAGGUUCAAUUCCCAGCCAAGGUA